rnacentral:lncRNA from 1 species
AGUCUGCGCAGGGACCGGGAGCGCGGGCUGGGCUCCGCGCGGCGCCAGCUGCCGCACCGCGAUUACGGGCUGCCCGCCUGGAACCCGAGCCGAUCGCUGGCGAUUGCCUUAGCCAACUGUCUGAGAGCUGGGGCACUGUCAUGGGCUGUGUGCAAAGAAAGAGUUGGCAUCGGGAUCUGCAGGCAGGAUGAGGGCCAAGUCCAAGGUCAGAGGAAGAAAGAAAGGUAGGAAGGGAGAGUGGGGGCUGAAGGGUCUCUUGCCUUGAUGGCCAGAGGUGGGAUGGGGGAGGUCCCAUGUCUGACCCCUUCCUUCAUGCUUCAGGAGCUCUGGGCUACCGUUCCAAGUGUUUCAGAAUCUAACCCUUUCACCUGUACCCCAGAAGCUGAAGGGGACUGGGAGAACACUUGGGGAAGCUAGGUGAGCCUGGAUGUCAUGCUGGAAACGGGUCUUGGGAAAACGGCCCCUCUUGUCUUAAAUCUUGUUUCUCUAUAAUGGGUGGAGGGAUUAAAGUGCAUUAUAAGGGACCUUUAGCUUCUGUAGGGCCAGCCUAUAGGAUGUAUAGGUCAAGGUUGGGAACCUGAAAAUGCAGAAUGAGGCUCCUUGCAUUGUCCUCAGCUCCCAGCUGAGUGUCACAUACACACAUGUCAUGGAGAUAGUCAGAUUCCCCCAACUUUACCUAAAGCACCCAGAUCAGUGUGGGAGGCAGGUGCCUUUCCAGUUAGAAUCUGGGUACCUGACCCACCCUGCUCUCCUUCAGACCAGAAUCUUGAACCUGCAAAGGCUGCUUUUGCUUCUCCUCCUCCUUCUCCUUCUUCUCCUUCUCCCUCUUCUUCUCCUUCUUCUCCCUCUUCUUCUCCUUUUCCUCCUCAUGCUCCUUCUCCCCCUUUUCCUACUCCUUUUUCAUUCUUCUUUCUUCUUCCUGGUGGGAGCCUUAGGUGAGGGAGUAGCAAGGGAGAAAGCCCCUGAACAGGGACAGCUAGGUGUCUGCUAUGACCCUCAGAGAGAGCUAACAGUAAGGCAGGGGGGUCAGCAGGUGCUUCCAGGUUUCAGGCAGAAGAACAGAGCCUCAGGUCCCUUACUGACAACAGAGAAAUGGCAGUAACCACUUAUCAGGCUCACGUGAGGGACACUAAAGGGACACAAGGAUCUGGGUGGGAAUGUGGUACUGCCAAGGCACCAUGAGAAUGGAUGAAGGUGGAACCAAAGAGUUACCUAGUUGUCUAGUGGUCUCUCACAAGGGAGGAUUGUCCACCACUGCCACCACUACUCAGGGGUUACCCUGGGCUAGCAGCUUUGUAAACCAAAGAGUUGCCUAGUUGUCUAGUGGUGUCUCACAAGGGAGGAUUGUCCACCACUGCCACCACUACUCAGGAGUUACCCUGGGCUAGCAGCUUUGUAAACCGAAGAGUUGCCUAGUUGUCUAGUGGUGUCUCACAAGGGAGGAUUGUCCACCACUGCCACCACUACUGUUACCCUGGGCUAGCAGCUUUGUGUCGGUGCAAGGUGUACACACCUGUGCACUUCCCAGGACCACUAUGUGAUCAUAAUAAGAAUGAAUGACCCCAUAUACAGCGAGCUGAGGACCUGCCCUGGCAAGAAUGCUGAGGCCACCCCUGGUGUACAGUAGGGAGCCCUGUGGUGGAGGCUGGAGGAGUUUUAAGGCCUCAGAGCAUCACACAUGAGCUAGGAAUCUCUACAGGGCUAGAGAACUGCAGACAUGGUCAGUAACCAUGGUGGUGAGAGUCAUAAUGCAGCAUAGCAAGGCAUGGACAGGACAGAGGUACCCUAAGAUGAAGAGGGAGUCUUGGCCUGCGAGUCAGAUGAGCCGGGUUCUCCUAGCCAAUGGGCUCUGUUCCAUGAGUGGCAGUGAACUUCAUUCAGUGACUUUCGUUAGGCUGUUGUCUAGUGGUCUCAAGCUUCUCCCUUGUGAGAGAGACCACCAGGGGGCAGGGCCAAAAUGUGUCAAGUGGUCUACUGGAUUGAUGGUGGAGGCCACAGUGGCUGUCACAGUUGUAGCUCUCUCUCUCAGCUGCUGUCACAAAUUGCUUCGUGCUUUGUGGCUUAAACAACAAAAAGGUGUUGCUCGUGGCCUGGAGGGCAGAUGUCUGAUGUGAGAUUUGCCCAGCUGGUGCUUCCUGGAGGUGGCUAAAGGAAAGUCUGUCCCCUAGCUUAGAGACAUGUGACUGGCCCCUGCCUCUGUCUUCAGGCCCCUUCUUUCUCCAUGCCUGGUGUCUUCUCCUAUGAAGAUGCUUACCCUGUGUUUAGGGCCCAAGAGUUGUAACAAACACUAUGUAGAGACCCUGUUAUGUUCUGAAGGUCCAGCUGGAGCUGGGUGUUUAUUGAAUGUUUAUAGCUACUAAGAACUGGUUUCUCCAUCGUUUUCACCCCCUUUAUGGCUAAAAGAAGCAAAGGUUAAGGUGGACCCCAAGUCACACAGCAAGUGAGAGAGAACUGGGAUUUGAACCCACAUCUUCUCUUUCCCACAUUUUCAGAGCUCUACUGGGGACCAUAGCCAGGAUUCCAAAAGGCAGUUGAUCUUGGGCCACAGGCAGGGGUACUGCAUACAGAGGGAAGAGGGAUAUGCCUUAGCCAUGAGAGACCAGCAUUCGGCCGUGUGUUGAGAGCCACAGUCCCUUCCGAAAAAGCCCCACCUGCUCCCAUGUCCUCAUCCUUGUGGGAUCAUGGUCAUGAACCAACACACUGAUUGAUCUCCUUGUGAAGAGGUAUGCUGCGUCCUCAGUGUUUGGUAAUUGUUUCUUCCAUUUGCUAUAUAGGAAGGGAUUGCUUCUUGCAAGUCACAUCUUAGGGAGUUGGCUCUACCAUUCAGCUGCGUGUAGUGACACUAGUGGCUUAUCCUCAAUUUGCAUCUCUGUAAGGUGGACACAAUACCAGUGCUCAUCUUCCUUGUGGUGGGGUUGGCUGUGAGGGACAAGGGGACUCAAGUCAAGUGCUCAUCGUGGCACAGUCCAGGUUGAGCCUUAACACAUUCUUCAACUGUCAAAUAGAAUCUGUCAUGGUUUCCUUGUUACAGCUGGCCCUCUAGGGACAUGGGUUUCCCCAUCUGUGGACUCACGGCAGCAGCCUGAGAAAUGCUCCAUGGCUUGGGAGACAGCUCAGUCAGUACAGUGCCUACUGUGCAAGCAUGAGGACCUAAGUUCAUAUCUCCACCAUCCCCAUGAAAUCCAGGCAUGGUUACUCCCAGCUGUGCCCUUAUUGCCAGGGAAGCAAAAACAGGCAGAUCCUCUGCUGCCUGGCCAGUCUAGCAAAUGAGUAACUUGGGUUCAGUGAGCAACCCUGUCUCAAAAGAUAAGGUAGAGAAUAAUAGCGUAAGAUUCCCAAUAUUGACAUCCAACUUCCAUAUGCAUGCAUACAUGUGCACACACAUGACACACACACACACACACACACACACACACACACACACACGCAUGCACGUAUACCACAUGUUAUAUGCACUCACGGAAAAUAUUCAAGAAAAAUCUUACAUUUGCAGUGAACAUCCUAGACAUUUUUCUUAUUUUUUCCCUUGUACCCAGACAGGUACAAGGCCUGUCUGUGCAGGGCUGGAUAUUAUAAGCUACCUGGAGAUGGUUUUAAGUUUAUGGGAGUGUAAAAACCAGACAGGCCACAAUCGCCUGUGACCCUAGCACUGGGGAGGUGGAGGCAUGUGGAUUGGGAGCCUAAGGUCAACCUUCACUGCAUACCUUGGACUACAUGUGACCCUGUCUCAACAAACAACCCGGCACACCAAAAAGGAUUCAUGAGAGAAGGUUACAUGCGAGUAGUGUGGUGCUUUGGGAAGACCUGAGCAUCUAGAGAUUCUGGGUUUGCAGGAGUUCCUUAGGCCCAGAGCCUCAAGUUUUCAAGGUUGUGCAGUUCCUCCUUUUUGUGUGAGGGUGUGGUGAGUGCUGCAUGGAAGUGCUCUGCUGAGUUUCCAUGGCAUCAGAGAGCUUUAAAUAUAAACCCCAACCCAAUAUUGACUGCUGUGUGGCCUUGGGCCAGGAGCUUGGCUUCUCUGCGCUCAGCAUUCUGUUCUAUGACAGUGGGAUUGACUUGAGAUAUCAACUAGGAAUGUGUCUGGAUGGGGUCCUGCCUCUGCCUGGGUACACUGACGGUGACCACAGAAGGGUAGUCCUAGCCCAAGGAGGGAAGCUCUGGGCUUAGAAGAUCCUGCAGCCCUGCCUCCUGUGCUGUGGCAGAGCCUGUAGGAGGAGCCAUGAGAGAAUGACCCCAUUUUGGGUGAAGCAGCAUGAAUCUCCAAAAGAGGAAGCAGGUGUGCCCCGUUCCACCUUCUAGGUGGGGUUCAUAGGAGGCCUUGUCCCUGCUGUUGCUUCCACUCCAGGGGCUGUCUGGCCAAUCCCACCUGGCUCUCAAGGACACUUUGGGCCAGAGCUUAAGGGUGACCUGCAGAGCUGAGCUGUUGAUCUGUAGAGGACUGAGGAAUCUGCUGGCAAUCAUGGGGAUCAUCUGGACUACCUGGGCCUUCUCAAGCUUUCACUGGGCUUGUGGGUGGCACCAUGGUUAGAGAUAAAAGCUAGGCCCAGGCUGCUUGGGGUCAAAUCUGGGCUUGACCAUGUUGGCUGUGUGGUCUCUGUUUGUUUCUGAGUUCCCACAACUGUCCACUGUGCCAUGGUGUCAUCUCCAUACAGAUGGAUGAUCUCUAAGAUAUUGCUCUGACAUUUCACACAUGGGCGUGGGGGGGGGGAUAGCUCACUUAACCACUUUAGCUUUCUUAGACAUCUGUUCAGCUCAGUAUUGACACAGUUCAGAGUCAACAAAAUCCAGGGAACAAAAAGAAAGGCUUAGCAGGGGGCCACCAGGUGAUGGGAACAAAGGAGCCUUUGUCUGCUACUCCCCCAGGGGCCCUUAUCUCCCCCUAAAGCUCAAGAGUGCUCACCCCUCAGAGCUGCUGUUAGAAUGCCUGUGUGCAGUCGGUGCUUAAUAAAUGCCAGCUCCAAACAACCCACACUGCAGUCCAAGGAGGACUGGAAGGCAUGCACUCUGAGAUUCCCUUGCCUGCCCCUCUAUUUCUCUCUCAUGUAAUUGCUACAAAUUCCAUAAUUUCUCUCUGCCUUAGCUCUCCUGUCUUUGAAAUAGGGAUAACAGAAGUCUCCAACUCAAAAAAUACAAGGAUUAAUCAAAUAAAAGUGAAGUAAUUAGGUAGAAGUGCCAGCAACUGUUUCGCCAUGAGCGUCUAGUGAGUUCCUUCUAACCCCAUAAAUAAUAGCAAAAAUAAACACUGUUAAUAAAGUAACCACCAUCAGGAAUCCCUAAGGCCUCAGAUGUUGCUUUGCUGGGGUUGUGUAGCUGGCUCUCCCUGUCCAGGCACCAGCCAGUGUGGAAUCUUUGUGAUGUGGGUGUGGGUUUCUGAGUCUUAUAGACAAGGAGUUUGGUUUGGGAGGGAGGAGUUGUUGGUUCAGAUUACACUAGGCUGGAUUUCCCUGCCUGUCUGCCACACCUGGGGAAGCAACAGAUCUGGGCUGCACACCCUGCCCAAGGUCAGCUGAGCCUGCUGACCACCCUGGCCUUUCCCAGUGGGCUCCUGACCUCAUGAAGGCUGACAGCAGCUGCUGCAGAGUGACAGAGGCAAAACUCUAUCCUGGAGAGAUCAGAAGCCCUGGGGCAGCCUAUCUAGCUGCCAUGCAGGAAUGAGCCACCAAGUAGGCUGGGAGAGGGGAGUGCUGCAAAGACCCGGGAAUGGAGUGGCCUGGUGUUGAUGGACACUCCAGGAAAUUCUGGACAAGGCCUUAUCUAGGUAUUAGUUUCUCAGUUUUGGAACAAAGACUUGGGCUCAGAUGACUUCAAAAUUCUCAAGUUCAAAGUCGCUCAGAUGUUUCUGAGAGUCAAGAUCAUGGGAAGAGGCCGAUGGGGGGAGGCUAGCAUACGUGCAGGGAGGGCAUGCCCAUCACUAUGUCCCUCUUGUGAGACUUGGCUGGAGACAUCACUUAGGAGAAAGGGGCCAAAGUGGGGAGGUGUGGGGCAAGACAGGGCAGCAGCUAUGACUGCAAAAGUCUGUGUCUUUAGCUUGAGCCUCAUCCUCAUCCUUAGGGGGCUCUGGAACAUAUCCUGAACCCCAGGAUGUCCCUGG